UGUACACACCGCCCGUCACACCAUGGAAGUUGGUCACGCCCGAAGUCGUUACCCCAACCGCAAGGGGGGGGAUGCCUAAGGUAGGACUGAUGACUGGGGUGAAGUCGUAACAAGGUAGCCGUACCGGAAGGUGUGGCUGGAUCACCUCCUUUUAGGGAGACCUAAUCCAUUUAGAAAUUUCCAGCAAUUUUCAUUGCUAGAAACUAAAUUGGUCUAACCUAGGUCGGUCGAGAUUGGUAGAUAUCUUUCAAAGUAUUAUUCGGCUUAGUUCAAAACUUGAAGCAUCAUAAAUGGAAAAAAGACAGCACCUAACAAUAAAAGUUAGACUGCUGGGUGAAAUUCCAGCCAGAACCUUGAAAACUGCAUAAGAGAACGAGAAAAAGCAGGCAGACACAGACAUGAGAGUGUUUCGUGAAAGCAAAGAAAAAUUGUGGUCAAGCUAAUAAGGGCUAAUGGUGGAUACCUAGGCACACAGAGA
rnacentral:sRNA from 1 species